rnacentral:lncRNA from 1 species
GUCAGAACUGGUGGAAAUUCACUUUGGUCUCUCGUAUGGCUGGAUCUCGUAUUUCUAAAGGCCCAUGCCGGGUGGACUAUUACAUCAUGUUGACAAUAUAAAUUAGACUGAUUAGAGGCUGACAAUGUCAUUAGGAAUGACAUACUAUUUAGUAGCUGGCAUUAUUGCCUGUAACAUUUAUACAUGACAAAGUGCUUUCUAUCUCUGCCCAGUGACACUUUGACACCAACCCAAAUCAUAGAAAAUGCUGUGGUGUGAGCCAUAGGCCAAUUAUUAACUGUCCCUGGGAGGUCCCUCAGCCCUUCCAGCCCUGCUGACAGAUUGGUCUUUGGUGAAAUUAUGAAG